rnacentral:rRNA from 1 species
UACGAAGGGGGCUAGCGUUGUUCGGAAUUACUGGGCGUAAAGCGCACGUAGGCGGCUUUCUAAGUCAGGGGUGAAAUCCCGGGGCUCAACCCCGGAACUGCCCUUGAAACUGGAUGGCUAGAAUCCUGGAGAGGCGAGUGGAAUUCCGAGUGUAGAGGUGAAAUUCGUAGAUAUUCGGAAGAACACCAGUGGCGAAGGCGACUCGCUGGACAGGUAUUGACGCUGAGGUGCGAAAGCGUGGGGAGCAAACAGG